rnacentral:rRNA from 1 species
GUGUGCGCUUGUCUUGAAGAUUUAGCCAUGCAUGCCCAGCGAAGCCUUGUGCGGAGCGGCAGACAGCUCAGUAAUACAGUUAUGAUUUACUCGCGGUAUGUAUACGGAUAACCAUGGUAAGCUAUGGCUAAUACGUGGACGCGUUGUCCAGGUGGUGAGGCAUGGACAACAGACAGGGAGCGACCGCGACUAAGUUUCUGUCCUAUCAGCUAUUGGAAGGUAGGGUAAUGGCCUACCUUGGCGAUGACGGGUAACGGGGGAUGAGAGUCCGAUUCCGGAGAGGGAGCCUGAGAAACAGCUCCCACGUCUAAGGAUGCCAGCAGCCGCGG